AAGCCCGUACUGGCAGGGACCAUUUCUAUUAUUUAUUGUUAGAGAUUUUUCUCUGAACAUAUAGGGCACCAGAAGCCACAGAAAUGAGGUGUAGAGUUCUCUCCUGAGUGUGAAGUCCGUCUUCAGUGAGGGUUUCAUUGCAAUUGUCAUUGCCAAUGGUGACAGUUUUUCUUUUCCUUAUUUUUUCAAGUGGAGAAAAUUCAGUCUGAGUGCU
rnacentral:snoRNA from 1 species